rnacentral:piRNA from 1 species
UCGGCUGUCUCUGCAUUUCAUUGGCUGUG